AACACGAUCAAAGCCAAAGGCUGAUUUAUAACUUGCCCAGGCUGUCCUAGGCAGUCAGGGGCAGAGGAAGCCAAGCUAAGGAGGCCUGUGGAAGAUGAGAGAGCCUUGCAGAAGAAAUUCAGGCUGACAGAGAGAGCCAAGCUCUUAGCAGCACCUCAGUCUUUACAGAUGCACUUCCAGUGUUGUGAAGAUGAAUCAGCACCAUCAGAGCAGGGAUAUGGAGAGGCACAGCUCGAGUCAGGGAAGCCAUGGGUCAGCUAAGAGAAAGCAGAGCUGUAUCUUCAGGAACCAUCAAACACAAAGAAUAAUACCAGGGGAAGGUGAUAAGAGGAGAGCUGAGCACGGUCCACCAUUCAGCUUCCUCCACAGUGUGAAAUGACCUAGCCCUCCCAAGGAAAUGAAAUCCAUCCUGGACAGACAGAAGAUAACUCAUUUGAAAAGAAAGAGUCGCAACCAGUUAUCAGAGAAAAUAAACACAAACAGGUAUAUGGCGAUCAAAGAAGACAGAGUGGCAGUGAGCAACCGAGUUUAGAAAGCAGCAUGGAAGACAUGAUGACUGUAAGAGGAUGCAGGGGAUCCCACCCAUCUUUCCCCCAGGAAAAGUAGCA